GAUGAACGCUGGCGGCGUGCCUAAUACAUGCAAGUCGAGCGAACAGACGAGGAGCUUGCUCCUCUGACGUUAGCGGCGGACGGGUGAGUAACACGUGGAUAACCUCCCUAUAAGACUGGGAUAACUUCGGGAAACCGGAGCUAAUACCGGAUAAUAUCUUGAACCGCAUGGUUCAAUAGUGAAAGACGGUUUUGCUGUCACUUCUAGAUGGAUCCGCGCCGCAUUAGCUAGUUGGUAAGGUAACGGCUUACCAAGGCAACGAUGCGUAGCCGACCUGAGAGGGUGAUCGGCCACACUGGAACUGAGACACGGUCCAGACUCCUACGGGAGGCAGCAGUAGGGAAUCUUCCGCAAUGGGCGAAAGCCUGACGGAGCAACGCCGCGUGAGUGAUGAAGGUCUUCGGAUCGUAAAACUCUGUUAUUAGGGAAGAACAAAUGUGUAAGUAACUAUGCACGUCUUGACGGUACCUAAUCAGAAAGCCACGGCUAACUACGUG
rnacentral:rRNA from 1 species